rnacentral:lncRNA from 1 species
GGGGCGCAGCUGAACCAGCUGGAGAGGCAGCUGGGCCGGGCUGCCCAGCGCAUUGAGGAGCUGGAGGAGGAGCUGCGGAGGUGCCAGGCAGAGCUGGAUAACCUGCACUCAAGCACCCUCCUGACCCAUUGCUGCCCCCCCCGGAUGAAGUUGCAACCCAUCAGCUCCACAUUGGGGGAGAAGCCACUCAUGCAUCGAGAGGCUGCCUGGCACAGUGUCCCUCCUGGGGGCCCUGCCCCCCCAGAGAACAGUCAGGGGAUCCCAUCCCCUGGGGAGGAACAUAUUGAGGAGAAUGCAGGGCUGGGGCAUGGCCCCCCUGGCAUGGAGACCUGGG